rnacentral:rRNA from 1 species
CGGGCGACGCGCCGGUCUAAGUCCCUUGGAACGGGGNGUCAUGNAGGGUGAGAAUCCCGUAUGUGACCGGCGACNGAGCCUGUGUGAAACCCNUUCGANGAGUCGAGUUGUUUGGGAAUGCAGCUCNAAGCGGGUGGUAAAUUUCAUCUAAAGCUAAAUACCGGCCAGAGACCGAUAGCGCACAAGUAGAGUGAUCGAAAGAUGAAAAGCACUUUGGAAAGAGAGUCAAAAAGUACGUGAAAUUGUUGAAAGGGAAGCGCUUGCAACCAGACCUGCCCGCGGGUGAUCAGCUGUCCUUCGGGCGGUGCACUCACCCGCGAUCAGGCCAGCAUCGGUUCGGGCGGCCGGAUAAAGGCCUUGGGAACGUGGCUCCCCUCGGGGAGCGUUAUAGCCCAGGGUGCAAUGCGGCCCGCCCGGACCGAGGACCGCGCUUCGGCUAGGAUGCUGGCGUAAUGGUUGUAAGCGGCCCGUCUUGAAACACGGACCAAGGAGUCGACCAACCGUGCGAGUGUUUGGGCGUCAAACCCACACGCGCAAUGAAAGUGAACGGAGGUGGGAACCCCUCGCGGGGCGCACCAUCGACCGAUCCAGAUGUCUUCGGAUGGAUUUGAGUACGAGCAUGGCUGGUCGGACCCGAAAGAUGGUGAACUAUGCCUGGAUAGGGUGAAGCCAGAGGAAACUCUGGUGGAGGCUCGCAGCGGUUCUGACGUGCAAAUCGAUCGUCNAAUUUGGGCAUAGGGGCGAAAGACUAAUCGAACCAUC